rnacentral:lncRNA from 1 species
ACUGCUUUUGCACGGGGACACAUGUUCGUGAUGGUUAACUGAGACCACUUCACCCUGGGUGUAACCUCCUUCCCACCAUGCGAUGGAGCAGGGGGCUCUCAGCAAAGAACUGUGCUUCAGCCAGUGCUCAUAGCACUGGUUUGUAUUUGAGUUGUGGGAUCACAGCGCUCUCUGGUGUGAGAGUUUGCUCUGAGCUGGAACUUAAUGAAAUAAUAAAUAAAAUUGAAGCUACUGAUGCUUUUUUAACCACAAUCUAAAAAGAAUCACCCUGCAGGCGGAGGGUGAGGAGCUCCAUUAGAGCUUCAACACCAGACAGGCUUGUGACUCAAAGGAUUUAAAGGAGGGGGGGAGCACUUAGUGCUAAAAUAACAUAAGACAAAGGGCUGGAAGCCCACAGGAAGAUGAGUCUUGAUACCAGCAUCAUCCAAAUGCAGAAACUUGAGCAGUUUCUCAUAAGGUUUUAUUUUUAACCUAGAGCCAAAUUUAUACCAGUGGAUCUGUAGCAGCUCCUCAUAGCACUGGAGACCAUUUCUGGAUUCUUUGCAGUCAUCAGUGUGCCCAGGAAAGAGAAAGUACCUGAAAUACGUAAGUUUGAACCCUUGUAACUGCAGUGGUGCAAGUGGUGAUUCCCCACUAGUGUCCAACCAGAAGGUGCUCUGUAGCAGGUACUCCAGAGCAGGUAUCUGAACCUUCUGGCCCGGUUCCUGAUGGGACCCAGGGGGUUACAGGAGGCAGAGGAACGGCUGAACUAAACCCACUGAGCAUUCAGUGGUCAUUUCCUGCGUAUCUGGAAUUUCAGUGAAGUUCUGCUGCUCUGCCGGGUUGGUUUUAGAAGCAAGGCAUUGCUCCUGCUGCGAUAGAAGCAGCAAGGGGCAGAAGAUAACAGUGUGUGCCCUGAGCUUGCGGUAAACCCCAUGAGGAGGAAGGUCUGCCCUGUUGCUGCAUGGAUCUUGAAGUUCUUGCCUCACUUCCUUACCAGUUGGUCUUUUUGCUGACGUGCAUCUACCUGCCAGCCUCGCUGCUGAGCCUCCUGGGCAGUGGAUCCAUCCUCGCUGUCACCUCCCGGCGGAGGCGAUGCUGCCACAUCCAGCUUCGUCCUCUUUGCCUCCUUGCCCUGGCAGAUCUUCUGGCAGCUGCCUCGGUGCUGGGCACGGCCACCAUCCAGGUGUUCCCAGCACCUCUCUUCAUCCCAGCCUAUGCUGCCUGCCCCUAUGGAUGGAUGCUGGCCACGACGUUCUAUGCAAUCUCCUUCCUGAUGGUGGUUGUCUAUGCGUUCGAGUCCUAUCGCAUGGUGCACGGCUGGAGAGCCCGGCACGUGGCAGCUCUGCAGGCUGGUGCCGGCGCUGACGCUCCUGGGGCAGCUCAUUGCCCGCGGCACAUCUCUCACUGACAUCGCACCGAGACACCUCGAGCCCAUCGUGCCAUGGAGGGGCAAUGGCUCCCACGAGACCUACAGCCUCUACUGCUCCAGGUAUGCUGCUGGGUGACCCCGGUGGGUUUGGGUGUGCUGCAGCCCCUGCAAGGCACACAAGGGACAGCUCUGGAUGGUGAAGGCUUUGGGAUGGGGAUUAGGGGACCACCACCAGCAUCCUCUGUCCUUUCAGCUGCCUGCUCCUCAUCCACCAUGCCC